AUGAACUUGGCCAGGGCCACCAGCUCCUGGAGUCGUCGGGGGGGGGAAGAGAAGGGCUGUGGGGUGCCGGGGGGGCUGCAGAGGGCUGGGGGAGAGGGGUGGGGAGGGCAGGGCCCUGACCUGGUGGGCAGCAGCGCCGGGGUCGUUGAGGAGGCGGUGGAAGAGGGUGAAGAGGGAGAGCUGGAAGAGCAGGGCCUCCAUGCGCAGGUCGCGGGCCAGGCGGUGCAGCAGGCGGGCGGCGCAGUGGUUGGUGCGGGCGCUGUUCUGGGCAUAGCCCCGCAGCAGCAGCGCGCAGGCGCGGACCACGGGGGCGCAGGCGAACCUGGCCCCCCCCCCAGCACUGGUGAGCGGGGCCGUGCUGGCUCCCCCUUUGCCCCCCCCUGCACCCCCCCCGGGGCCAGGCCCCCCUCACCGCUUGAGGUAGUCCAUGAAGUUGAACUCCNNNNNNNNNNNNNNNNNNNNNNNNNNNNNNNNNNNNNNNNNNNNNNNNNNNNNNNNNNNNNCCCCCCCCCCAGCACUGGUGAGCGGGGCCGUGCUGGCUCCCCCUUUGCCCCCCCCUGCAGCCCCCCCGGGGCCAGGCCCCCCUCACCGCUUGAGGUAGUCCAUGAAGUUGAACUCCUUCUCCGCCACCUGCACCGUCUGCUCCUCCUCGUCCUCCUCCACCUCCUCUUCCUCGAGCUCCUCCGGCUCCUCGGCCUCAGGGGGCGCGUGCCCUGCGGGGGGAGUGGCUUUAAGGGCCCAGAGCGUCUCCAGCCCAGGACCCCGCUGCCUCGGGGGCAGGAUUUGGCCGUGGGACUCACGGGGCAGGGCAGCGAAGAAGAUCUCCCGCAGCAGCUGGGUCUCCUCGGGCGGCCCCGCACCAGAGGGGCCGAACACGUCCCCUUCGGGCCACACUUCCCUGGGGGAGAGGGGCGCAGGCUGGCACCGGAGCCCCGUGCCCUGCCCAGGUGGGGGGGUCUGGUGGGGGCCGGUACCUGGCGCAGCGGAGCAGCCGCAGGGCCUCAGGGGCCUGGGCACCCCGCAGGCAGCCCUGGAUCCGCAGCAGAGCCUCCGCGCGCUGCUCCUCCACCGGCGUCUCCGAGGCAGCGUCGAAGGGCACCACGUCCUCGGGGAGGGGCACCUCGCCCUGGGGAGGGGACACGGCAUCACCCUGUGCCCCCACGGCCACCCGGGGGUGGUGGCGGGGCCGGAUCCUUCCCCUACCUGCAGGCAGGCCUGGAGCUGCGGGGCCAACCCUGCCCACAGCUCCUCCAGCUCGGCCGCGCUGGGUGGCUGCGGGGCGAGGGCUGCGGGCGCCCGCGGCUUCUUCUUCCUCCGCACGCGUUUGCUCUGGGGGGUGGGGGCGAGAGAGAGAAGUCAGGAGGGGCCACCCCCCGCUCCCCUGUCCCCCCCUGGCUGCAGCCUCAGCCCACCUGCACCACGAGCCCUGCGCGGCCGCGGCAGAAGUGCUCCAGCAUGCGCAGGAAGAGGUGCGCCGUCUCCACCAGGUCCCGCAAGAAGGCGCGCGGCUGCUUGGUCUCGUCAAACUUGCGGAAAAGCGCGAGGAGGAGCUCGCGGUACUCCGUCAGGUAG
ensembl:lncRNA